CCACCCUGCCCCUGCACCCGGGCUGGCUGAUUCAACCUUCAUUGCCCCUUCUUCCAUCCUGCUCCCUGAAGCCUUGUGGAGAAGGAUGUGGCCCAGCCGUCCAUUUAUGGUUAUGCACAAAGGGACAAUGUCUUAAGUGUACUCUGUGACACAUUGAAAGGGUCUUGGAUCUCUACGAUCAGAACGGCUGCCGUGGUUUGAAAGGGAACGGCUCCCACGGGCUCAUUGGUUUAAAUGCUUGGUCUCUAGGGAGAGGCGCUGUUUGAAAGGACGUGGAGGUGUGAUCCUGUUGGAGGAAGUGUGUCACUAGGGGAGGGCUUUGAGGUUUCCGAAGCCCAUGCUAAAGCCCAGAGUCUCUCUCGCGGCCAGUGGAUCAGAAUGUAGCUCUCAGCUACUUCUCCGGCACCAUUUCUGCCUGUCUGCCUCCCACCAUGGUAAUGGACUAAGCCUCCGAGACUGUCAGCAAGCCUCAGAUGGCACCCCCACCUACCUGAGUCAGUGACUCAGAAGAGGUCAUAGUGGAAGAGUCUGGUCCGCAGCGUUUCAUUUAAGCUCCGCUUUACCACCCACUCCUCGUCCAUCUUCCUAACGUGCCUAGGAAGAUAAGCCGCUCUGAAACUCCAGGCGGGUGAGACAGGACGCACUGAAAAUCAUUUGCUCUGUGUACCAGAUUUUCCCAUCAUGCUGCCAGCGUGUCUGAGUGGUUGGAGGCUCUCUGAAUAAGAGCACAUGGAUUUAGAAUUGUGAUAUUGUCCAGGUUAGGUGAAGUCCUUAAAGAUGUCGUUAUUUCAUAGCUUCUAGCAAUGUCUGCCUGAGAGUCUGUCUUGUUUGCUGAUGUCUUAGGGACAUCAGCUGUCCUUGGCUGAUAUCAGUGGCCCGAUUCGGGCUUGUAAUUCCCAGUUUGCCAUUCUGGAAACCAAAGUUCCGGAAACAAAAGGUUGCUUUUGUAAUUCUCCUGGCAGCAAACCCUGAUCUGUGUCCACGAGGAACUAUCUGUAAUCGUUCUUUUACUUAGGUUCUUUUCCCAGAAGUACUACUGUGUUUGAGUCCAGAGUGCUAUGGCUAGUCGCAUUCUGGCUGUCACGUGUGUGCUGCGCCAACUUUUAAGUAGGUGAGUCCACCUUAUUCACAUUUGGGACUAGAGUGUGAGCUGAGAGUCGUGGCUCUUUUUGCAUAUACUGUCUGUCUUCUUACGCACGACGUAUGUAUCUUCAGGUUAUACUUCACGGGAUUUGCUCCUUAUGUAAUAUAAUCAACUAUUAUUUAUUCAUGUAUUUUUUUGUUUGUUUUUUGAGGCAGGAUUCUCCUUGCCCAGAUUGACGUCAAACCUUUCUGCCCCAGCCUCCUAGAGUCCUGGAAUUUCAGGUCCUUGCUAACAUAGAGCGUGCUUUGAAGACCAGGCUGGACUUAAGUUCCGUUUCCAAACAGCUAGAAGUUAUAGAGAAAUUGGGAUUGUUUUCUGCGUGCCAGACCAUGCCACCAGUGAAAAGAUAGAGUUUUGCUUCUUCCCAGUGUGAAUGACUUUUCUUGCAAUGAUUUUCCCUCGAGUGGAUGUGGUGAGAACAGACAUCUGACCCCUUCCUAUCCGAGGAGAGAGCGCUCAGUAUUCCUCAUUAGGUGGGAUGUUAGCAGUGUGGUUUUUAUCCGGUUAAGGCUUAUUUUCAUUCUCUGUGGAGGAUUUUUCUAUUAUGAAAUCAUUUUACAUUUGUUUGGCCUUAUACCUUCUGUGCAUCUGUCUUGUGGGGUGUGCAUUUGAUCUAUUGAUGUACUAACUGGUUACUAAAUGUUAAACCUACUUUGCAUUUUUGAGGAAAAUUCCAAAUGAUUGCUGUGUUAGUUAGUGCUCUUGCUGCAGAGACAAAACCUGUGACAGAGGUAACUUAAGGGUGUGCAGACAGAACAGCCCACCUCCAUGGCAGCAGGCAAGGCAUAGCUGGACCCCUCCCCUCCUUAGUUCCCACUUCCUCCUGCAAGGCUCCACCUCCUGAGGAUACCACAGCCUCCCCCAGAGAGUGCCACCACUUGGAACUCAAGUGUUUAGAUACAGGAUCCUUUGGAGAUGUUGACCAUGCAAACCCCAAAGACACUGUAUUUCUUACUUCUUUUCAUAUUUCUGGUUUGUACUUACUUGUACUUUAUUGAGGAUUUUUGUACCCAUGUUUAUGACAUGUCCUUUAGCCUUUUGUCUUGUUUUACCCCUUGUGUUAUGAUUGUUUGAUAUUAUGAUGGCAUUAGGUUGAUAUUGAACUCAGAAUGAACCAUUUUUUAAUCAAUAUUUCCAACAUUGGAGACAUCUGGGCUUGAAAUGUAUAGAUUUAAAACACAAAUUCAGAGUUUACUUGUUUGUAACAUAUCUAUUCAAAUUGCCUAUUUCUUUGUAAGUCAGAUUUGGCCGUUUGUGACCUAGGAAUCUAUUCAUUUCAUUUAAGUUGCAUGAUUUCCCACACAUUACCAUAUUUAUUCUACAAGUCUUUCAUUGCUAUGAAUGUGGCAGCUACUCUCUUUUUCACUUAUAAUUCUAUUAAUUUAACUCCUCACUUUUUAAAAAAAAUCAGCUUAGCUUAAGAUUUCUUGAUCUUCUCAAGUAAUAAGUUUUUAAGUUUUUGAUUUUAUUUUCUGAAAUCUUUGUGUGCACAUACACAUAUGUAUGUGGUGUGUGCGUGUGUGUGUGUGUGUGUUCCUGUGCAUGAACGCAGGUGCAUGUGUGAAGGUCAGAGGGCAACCUUGGGCAUCGGUCUUCACCUGCCACCUUGUUUGAGGCAGUCUCUUGCUCACCACGGAGGUUUUCCAGGAAAGCAGAAUUUUCCUGUCUCUGCUACUCAUCAGAGAAUUGAGCAUUGAGAUCAGAGAGCUCUUCUCCUAGUCCUUACUUUACGUGGGUCCUGGGAUUUGAACUUAGGUCCUCCUGCUUUGCAAGUACCUUACCCACUAAACUGUCCCUCCAAACCAAUUUUCUCUGUUGUUUUUAUAUCCACUGUAUCAUUAAUUUCCUCCCUUGUCUUUCUUAGUUCCUCCCAUCUUCUUGUUUUAGGCUUGGUUUGCUUUUCUUAUUAUGAUAUCUUGAAUUAGACGGUUAGGAUAUUGAUGCAUAAUCUUUGGCUCUUAACAUACACAUCUCUAAAACCACCUUUUAUCUUAAGUUCCAAUUUAGCAGCAUUCCUGAGUUAUGGCACAAUAUGUCUUCAAUAUCAUUCAUCUCAAAUCUAAUAUGCCAUUUAAUUUCUCCUUUGGCUGAGGAUAUAUUUUUCUCCCAGGAAGCAUCCAAAAAAAUCGUCACCAAACUUGAAGUCACCUAGGUUUCCUUUAGAUUUUCUUUCAGAGUUGUCUGAUCUCACAUUUUACAGCUAUGUCUGGGAACCAUUUAGUUAAUUUCCUGAAAAGUAGGAAGUCUGAGCUUAGCUGCAUUCAAAAUUUAUUUAUUUAAAUUAUUUUUAAUAAUGUGUUUGCAGUACUCAAGGCGACCAGCAGAGGGCAACAGAUACCACAGUGCUAGAGUUAAAGGAGGGUGUGAGCCACCCGAUGAGGGUGCUGGUGAGAGAAAUCCAGUCCUCUGCAGGAGCAACAGGUACUCUUAACGAGUCCUCUUCCCAGCCUGUAGGUGCACGAUCCUCCAACUGUUUCAGGAAUGUUUAUUGGAAAGACUCUUCUCCCACCAUUGAGAGCUUCCUUUGCUUUCUACAGUUGUUGGCUACAUUUUUUUUUAAUUCCCUUUUAGGAAUUCUUCUAGAAGGCACCCACAUUUGAACAUACAGCACCACCCCUGGAUUCCUGUGAAUUCCACUCUAGGGAGGUGUAGGAGCAUUGCUCUCCUUACCUUCACCUGUGUUCUCUCCCUUUGGCCUAUUUUGUUUUACAUAUUCUACUUACAAAGGUUUAAAACACAGCCAUGCAUGUUAUACUUCUGACUUUUUAUGCUACUGGAUCUUUUAUACCUGUCCUCUUCAUCUAGGCUCUGGUCCUUCCCUCCACUGACCCCUCAUCCUCCUCUGGGCUCUGGCCCUUGCCGUCACUGGCUGGUCCUCUUCAUCUGGGCUCUGGUAUCUACUCUAAGAGAUGGUCUUAUGAGUUAGCAGAGAAAUCUCUUCCUUAGACACAAACUCCAACUGGCACCAGACUCUAGCAGCUGACCUCUCUCAUCUUGAAACUCCUCCACUAGUCAAUCCCAUUGGCUCUAUUUUCAAAACAUAACCCUAAUCUAGCUACUUUUCAAGAAGCUACCCCACCCUGGUGGCCAUGGCUGAUCAUGUGCCAGGAAUGCUUAUUGCCCUUGGGUUCAGUGUGAAACACGUCAAACAUGAAGCACAAUAGAUUAAACAUAGAAACCCUCCUUUCUGUGCCCAGGUUACACAGGCGAGGGAAGAUAAUUGUACUUCGGGUGUGUGAGGGAGUCUCAGGAUCGGUGAUAAGCUUAAACCAUGGACCACGUGUCCCCUGGAAGACUCCUGUCUUUUUACCCUUGGAGUCUCAGCUGAAAACCCUGUCCUCUGUGAACCCCUUACCAACUUCCCCAACUAAAUUUGUUUUUGUUCUUGUUUUUCGAGACAGGGUUUCUCUGUCGCUUUGGAGCCUGUCCUGGAACUCCACUCUCAGCACCUAUAGGAAUCAAUGGUGACACUUCCGUUGUCUGAAUCCCCCUCAAGAGUCACCAAAUAUGAGUUUGGGCAGGGACACAUCACAUCCAAGUCAUGGCAGAGUUUGUGUUUCAAGGAAGAACUUUGAUUUGAUUUGAUCUAAGCACGUGUUGUCUGUGGUUCGCCUAUGUGUUGUAAAGCAAAUACUAUAGUCUUUCUGAGUUUUUUUUAACUACAUUUAUGCAUGGGUAUAUGGUGUGCCAAGUCCUUCUGUAUAUGUGUUGCUUUUAUUUGUUAGUGAACAAAGAAGCUACCUUGGCCUGUGAUAGGGUAGAGUAGAGCUAGGCAGGGAAAACUAAACUGAAUGCUGAGAGAAAGAAGGUGGAGUCAGGAGAUGCUAUGUAGCCACCAGAGGGGAAAGAUGCGAGCUGCCAGCUGGAAUCAUACCAGUCUGGGUGUCUGGGAACAAACUAAUGGCCUCCUACUACAGGUAUAUGCAAGUACGUACAGAUAUCCACGGAGGUCAGAGGCAUCAGCUCCCCUGGGGCUGGACCUGAUCCAGCUGCCUGACUCGAGUGUUGGUCUUUGAACUUAACUCGGUUGCUGUGCAGCAGCAGUAAGCACUCAACUAUUGAGCCAUCUCUCCCCCUCCCCUUCCCAACACAUUCAUCAUCCGUCCUACACGUGGCUUUUCCCACACUCAUUAUCUCUGUAGAAUCAUGCCUGUAUUUUCCCCUCUUCCAGUCAGUCCCAUUGGAUCUGGUUUUGAAACAUAAUAUGUAAUUCAGAUUUAUCUCUCAAGAUCUUUGGAAGUACCUCUACCUUCUUCCCACACAUGCCGUGGUCUCUACCUAGCUCCCUGUUCCUUAACGUGUCUAUUCUGGACACAACAACCAAUGUGCUUCUCCUAAAAUAUUGGUCAGCUUAUAUUACUCUUCUGUUCCUGUCUAGAGUACCCCAGGCCUUGGGUUUAAUCCCCAGCACUGUAACAGAACAAAGCAGCUCCCCAUCCUCCAGGCAUCAUCCAUAGACAGAGGAAGCUGAGCUUCCGGGCUUAGAAACUGGAUGGUCCUGCAUAUACCCUCCCCACCUGGAACUCCAAGUUUCUACACGUUCCACACAUUCUCUGGCCUUGUGACCUUAACAUUUUGAUAUCUCUGGUGGAAACCUCUUCCACAAUGAGCCCAUAUUCACAUGCCUAGUUGACUUCCUGUGGUGAUUUGAAAGAAAAUGGUUCUCAGAGGGAGUGACACUAUUAGGAGGUGUAUGUAGCCUUGUUGGGGGAAGUGUGUCAGUCUAGGGUUGGGCUUUGAAGUCUCAUAUGCUCAAGCUAUUCCCAAUAUCACAAACUCCAUCUCCUUCCUAUGGAUUAAGGUGUAAAACUCUUUUUUUUUAAAUUUUUUUUUGUAGUCCAGGCUGGCCUCGAACUCACAGAGAUCCGCCUGCCUCUGCCUCCCGAGUGCUGGGAUUAAAGGCAUGCGCCACCACCACCUGGCAAGGUGCAAAACUCUUAUCUCCUUCUCCAACACUGUGUCCACCUGCACGUUGGUAUAUCCUGUCAUGAUGAUAAUGGACUAAACCUCUGAAACUGUAAGUUGGCUCCAAUUAAAUGGUUUUUUUUUUUAAUAUAUGGAUUGCAGUGUGUAUGGUGUCUCUUCACAGCAAUAGGAACGCUAAGUAAGACACAUCCCUUCCUUUAAGUCUUUGAUCCCAAACCAUAUUUUUAGUAAGGGCUUUGUUGGAAUGUGGAUCUGCCGAAAUGUCCUUCAAAGCCCAUGCGUUUAAGGCUUUUUUCACCCCGUGGAUUUUGGAAUGAAACAGAAGCCAUAACACGUGGACCUAGUAUGAGACUUUAGGUGGUUACAGGAAUGCCAUCAUGAGACAUUCCCUUACCCGUUCUCUGAAUAGAUGCUUCUACCAUGUUGUUUUCCAUAUUUCCCCAUUGCUGUAGGCCAAAGAGCAAUGAAGCAAACGAACCAUGGACUGAAAACUCCAAAACUAUGGGCCAAGGGUGGCCUUUUAGCUUUAUGAGUUGAUUAGCUUGGGUGUUUUGUCAGUGCAGUGGAAAGUGAGCAGCUCAUGUUUCUCUACUCUCCAUUGCCCUCAAUUCAGUUUGUUCUUCUCCACUGUAGUUAUCAAGUUUUAAACAUUCAGAGUUUAUUGUGUACUUCUUUCUCCCUGUCUAUACCUCCUAGGAUAUGGGGUCCUUGAAGGUCCCUGCGACUGCUGUUGUUGAUUGCGCACCAUUAUUGCAGCCUACACUACAGUGGGUUCCCAAUGUCCAUACACUGAACGAAGAAGUAUGCUUAUGCAGGGAUGUAUGAAUUGAAUGUCUGUGGUCUAGCCUGGGACAGUAUGGAAAUGCUGGUUGUAUUAGGAAACACACAACUGUAGAGAGGACAGGGGACCACUGGGAAAGGAAGAAAGUAGAUGAUAUUCACCUACUUGUGAGGUUUCGCUUGGUGCUUUGGGCUGGCUCUGAUGCCUUUGGCCCUGUCUUCCUCGGUUGUCCAUGGCACAUACUUCCUUCUUGAAGGCACCAAAGUAACUCUCACCAAAUACUUCCUGACUGACAGCUUAAUUACAUUAUUAGAAAUGGAUUUCUUCUGUUUGAUUAUGUGGGGAUGGGGUGGGGGGAAUAAACCCCUUUCCAGACAGUUUUGUUGCACAAGCUUGUUCCCUGGGCUCCCCAGGGAAGAGAGUUCAGGGGUUUCUUGUGCUAUGUGAGGGGACUGGAUUUAGAUCACAGGAGACAGUGAUGAGGUGGCAAUGCAGGCUGAUCAGAGAUGAAGCUACCUGAGAUAAAGGCAGAACCAGGGAGCUGGAACAGUGAGAAUCUAGGGUGAGAAGCCGUAGUACAGUUUAAGUCUGUAUCAACUUCCCUUGGUGGCUAUCUUUAGCGCAGUGUCACGACUCACGAUUUUAUAACUUCGAACACCUCAGUUUGUGUACACUUGUUAAGAGUCUGUGUUGUUGACCGGAACAUAAACUGCGAGAGAAGAACUGAUUAUUUUGUCAGUUCUAUUUCAAGCAAAAUGUUUGGUCAUGCUGUGGCUCACAUAUGGCAGCGAUUAAAUAUUUAAAAGAUGAAAUUCCAAAGCAGAAGGAAGGAACUGAGGUUUAACCUCAGUUGUCCCAACCAAAGGAGAUCAAUCAGCAAGGGGUUCUCUUCUAGGGAUAAACUUUCCUUCCAGGAGACUCUUGUCCCAGGUUACUCUUCUCUUUCUUCCUUUUUUUUUUUUUAAUAUUUAUUUAUUUAUUUAUUAUGUAUACAAUAUUCUGUGUGCAUGCCCGAAGACCAGAAGAGGGCGCCAGACCUCUUUUACAGAUGGCUGUGAGCCACCAUGUGGUUGCUGGGAAUUGAACUCAGGACCUUUGGAAGAGCAGGCAAUGCUCUUAACCACUGAGCCAUCUCUCCAGCCCCUCUUUCUUCCUUUUUGAUGAGAGACAAAGAUUUGUGGUUUUCAUCAGAGGAAAGAAAAGCACCCAUUUUGCAUUUCCUUGUGUUUUGUGCAACAGCAUUUGGAAUUGUGAUGUCUGAAGAGAUGACAAGAUAGGAAUCUAUGUACCUGCUACACUAAACUUUGAGAAGCACAGCUCUAAGUGACUAAACUGUCUCCUGCAGUACACAGGGCAGGAGGCAGACAGUGAGGUCUAGGCAGAUGCAGGGGCACAGGGUGUGGACUGGCAUUUAUGUGGUCUACAAGGGCUUCAGAAGCACCAGAGUAGAUGGCUGAGACCAAGGAGGGGAGCAAAGAGCAUGGGGAGAGAGAGAUCUCAGACAGGGCAGCAAAUGACAGAAGACAAACCAAACUUGGUGUGUGUGUGGGGGGGGUGCAAAGAGUGAUUUUAUUUUGGGUUUAUUUAUGUGGACGUGAGUCUGUCUGCAAAUAUGCAAGUGCAGUGCCCAUGGAGGCCAGAGGAGAGUGAGAGUGUUGGAUCCCCUAGAGCUGUUACAGGUAGUUCAUGAACUGCUCGGUGUGGGCCCUGGUAACUGAACUCGGGUUUCUGGGAAGAACAGAAUGUGCUCUUAACUGCUGAGCCAUUUCUUUGGCACCCCAUUCCCACCAAAGGAUAUUUAUUUGAAGAGUGGAGAGGGAGGUCAGAGCUACUGGAGUCCCAGGCACCCAAGCUAUCGCUUCUUUCUGUCUUCCCUUUUCUCUUCUUUUGCUGUCCUUCUAGCCUCUCUUUGUCUCCCCCUCUGUGUCUCUUCCUCUCUCCCUACUUCUCUCAUUUCUUCCCCACAUCUCUCUGCUGCUUCCUUUUUUCUACUAUAGAUAUGGGCAUUCUCCACACAUGAGGAAAAGUGUCAAAGACACAUCCUGAAGGAUGUAGAGCUGCAUCUGAACAUAUGCUCUGUCAGACUGCCCAGGGUGAAUUCUCUGUCUUGUUCCUCAAGUAUGGUCAAAAACGGGCUCUUAGGUGGGCAUCAGAGGAGCAAGUUGCAAUAGUCACUAAGACUUUUUGGUGCCUUUCCUUGGUUAAGAGACUCUCUGAGUGAGUGGGGUUUGGAGAAAUAAAGAGACAGGAAUAGGGCUUUCUGAGACCAAGCAGGGGUGAGUGGAGGUUCCAGGCACCCACCUUUAAUCCCAGCACUCAGGGGACAGAGACAGAUCUCUGUGAAUUUGAGACCAGACUGGUCUACAUAGAGAGAGGUUAUCUCAAAAAAAGAAAAAAAAAAAAAGGACAUGAAGGUGAGAGGAGAGGAGGUGGGAAAUUGAAGGCAUAUGGAAGGGGCUAGAGGGAAGAAUGAGAGUUAAAUACAAUAAAAAUAUAUUGUAUGCAUGAUGUGGAAUUUCCCUCUGUAUUCCAUGAAUACUACUGGUUAACAAAGAAGCUGCUUUGGGCCUAUUGCAGUGCAGAAUAGGUCAAUGUGGGAAUUCCAAGCAAAUAGAGGAGGAGAGAGUAGGCAGAGUCAAGGAGAUGCCAUGUAGUGCCAAAGGAAAAAGACACCCACAGAAGCCCACCAGAACUUUGCUGGUAUGCCACAACCUUGUGGUGAUGCACAGGUGAAUAGAGAUGGGUGUAAUUUAAGAUUUAAGAGCUAGCUAGCAAUAUGCCUAAGUGAUUGGCCAGGCAGUGUUUUAAUUAAUACAGUUUCUAUGUGAUUAUUUCAGGUCUGGGUAGCCGGGAACGAACAAGCAGCCUCCAACUACAGAUUGGUGCCACAACAUGGACAACUACAUACACAUAAACCCUGAAAGAUCUUGGAAAGGAAUUAUAGACACAAAAGAACAGAGUUUAUUGCAGCUUCCUUGAAGCCACAUUUUUACCCCUCCAGAUGAGCUCUGUUUGCUGGCAGAGAGCAGAGGCUCCAUGGCUCCUUUAAGAGAGGUCUUCUUGACAUAGCAUAGACAGCAAAGGCUGCUUGGCUCCUUUCAAAAGGCUUCCUGGUUUAUGCUAGUUGCACAAACAACUCUGGCUCUUUCAGGAGACCAAGCACUUGAAUGGGGUUUGUGAGCAGAGUGCUACAACUUGCUUAAUGGCAACAUAGACCCAUUAUGUACCUGAAAAUGAGGCUAUGGGCAUGGCUCAGAGAGCUGGAGCUGAAUGGACCUCUGCCAUGUUAGAUUGGGUAGAACCAAAAGGCAAAGCAGCCUUCAUUCUAGCCACAUCACUUAGCAUUUUAAGAAGUGGUCCUGGUAAGAAAAAAGAUUACAGAUAUAUAAUAGAGUCAAAUUAGAUUGAAAAGACCUUUAAAUGGGUUACAGUGCUGGAUAAAUGUAUGUGAGCUUGAGAGAGAGAAGAAAAAGAAUAUAGAAAAAUAAAACAAAGUUUUUAAAGAGACGGAGUGUAGAUAGUCAUGGAUUAAAGGAUAAAAAAAUAAGCCACAUAAAGAUGGAAUAUAUACAGAGAGUUGGAUUAUGUAAAUUUUUGUGUUUUAUUUAAAUUUUUGACUGUGAAUGAGCUAUAGAGAGACAUUUCAUUGUAUGGGCUGCUAAGCUAAACCAACAUAUAUAUUUUAAAGGUAUCUUGACUUCAAAAUUUGGGUCUAAAGAUCUGGAAAAGAGGUUCUGCUUUUGUUUCCACGGAAAAUGAGAACCUGUGGAUUCCUUCUAGGCUAAUAUAGUUUGAUGGAUCAAGACCCCUCAAAAGGUCACUGUGAACACCCAAAAUUGCUUUGCCCAACAAAAAGCAGAAAGCAGUUUGGAGAGAACUAUGCCCAAAUUCUCUAAAUGAUUGUUUGCAAAUGUUUGUUUACAUGUAAAGGGGAACAUACUAUAGAGAUGAAUAAUUUGCAUUGGUAUGGAUCUUGAUUUAUUGAUAAAAAUUUGAGAUCAAUUUUGUUGUAUGUGUAAGGUAUUGUGGUUGUUCAGCUCAUUUAAAAAUGUAAUGAAUAAUUAAGAAAUAUAGGCUAAUAGUCAUCUAUAAUAGUCAAGCUUGUAAUUGUGUUAGGUUUUCUAGAUGUACAAAAAUAUAUUUCAGAAGGAUAACUAUUCUUCAAACAUUUCAAAGACUUUCGGAAUAUGUCAUUUAAAAUGUUUAAAAACUUAGGACUUUUCAUGACAGUGGGACACAUCUGCUCCUGGCAGCACCAAUCUAUUUCAAGAGGAUGAUGGACAUUGAAAAGGCUCCUUAUGGAGUUUGUUAGCCAUUUGGGCAAGAAACUGUUCUUGCCUGGACUUCUUAAUGUUAUGCUGUAUGAAUUGGACAUGCAGGACCCACAGGAAAAUGAUUGCUGAAGUUGCCUAAAGAAAGUGAGACAGUCCUUCAGGAUUCCUGCUUCAUGAAAGAGACUGCCAGACAUUUUUCAGGACACAGAAGAAAGUGAUUGACAAACUACUAAUAUAGGGUGCGGUGGGUACAUCGGCUACACACAGAGAAGACGCUAGCAUAAGACUGAACCGGAAGAGAGUUGGCGGUCAUUUGAGAGGAAGAAUCUGGGGUACCUGGAGCACGAUUUAGAAGUGCCUUGUAACCAGUUACCUCAAGCUCCUCCCACCAUGCCUUCCCCGCCAUCAUGGACUGUAACUUCAAACUGCAAACCAAAAGAAACCCUUCCUUCUUGGAGUGGCUGUUGUCAAGGAUUUUGUCACAGCAAUCAGAAAGGGCAAAGGAGGAAGCCAGAUGAGUGACAACAUCCCUCUUUCUCUGCCUCCUGACGGUGGACCAAUGUGACCACAUCCCCUGCUGUCUCAUGUACUGGAAAAAGAAGAGAAAUCUGCUUGGGCAAUCAUUUACUUCCUACACAUCUUGUCUGUCACUACCCUGUCAAACAGUGCCUUGUAUGUGUGAGCUGAAACUCGAAGGAGAAAAGUGCCACCUGUGUUACAGGUGCUACCAGGGUGGAUGGCUGGGUAGAAAUAUCAUUGUGGAGAGUUGAAGGGCUGGUUUGAAAUGUUCCAGAACAAUCUGUCUUGCCAACUUUAGGGUCCUUAAUAGUCACUCAUUCUCCGCCUCUGCAUCAGAUCUAACACCUUCAUGAUUGUCACGUGAAACCCUUUUGGGGCAGGUGAAUUUAACGAUCACUAGCGUCCAUCAAUCCCAAAGCUAAGAAUGCCAUCUGAUGGCCUCUGAGGCCUAGAGUAGAGUUUCCUCACUUCUCUGCUAGCUACUUGCCUGAUGGUUCUACCACCAUUAUUAAAGAGUGCCUUGAUGGGCUGGAGAGAUGGCUCAGUGGUUAAGAGCAUUGCCUGCUCUUCCAAAGGUCCUGAGUUCAAUUACCGGCAACCACAUGGUGGCUCACAACCAUCUGUAAAGAGGUCUGGCGCCCUCUUCUGGCCUUCAGGCAUACAGACAGAAUAUUGUAUACAUAAUAAAUAAAUAAAUAAAAAAAAGAGUGCCUUGAUUCUGGGGGCUGGAGGGGGAGCUCAGUGAUUGAGAGUACUGACUGCUCUUCCAGAGGACCGAGGUUCGAUUCCCAGGACCUAUAUGGCAGCUAACAACUGUCUGUAACUCCAAGAUCUGACACCCUCACCCAGAGAUACAU